rnacentral:rRNA from 1 species
GAACGCCCCGCAAGGGGAGUGGCAGACGGGUGAGUAACGCGUGGGAACGUGCCCUAAGGUUCGGAACAACUCCGGGAAACUGGGGCUAAUACCGAAUGGUUCCUACGGGAUAAAGAUUUAUCGCCAAGAGAUGAGUCCGCGUCCGAUUAGCUAGUUGGUGGGGUAACGGCCUACCAAGGCGACUAUCGGUAGCUGGUCUGAGAGGACGAUCAGCCACACUGGGACUGAGACACGGCCCAGACUCCUACGGGAGGCAGCAGUGGGGAAUAUUGGACAAUGGGGGCAACCCUGAUCCAGCCAUGCCGCGUGAGUGAUGAAGGCCUUCGGGGUUGUAAAGCUCUUUUGGGCGGGGACGAUGAUGACGGUACCCGCAUAAUAAGCCCCGGCUAACUUCGUG